rnacentral:rRNA from 1 species
UACGUAGGGUCCAAGCGUUAUCCGGAAUCACUGGGCGUAAAGCGCACGUAGGCGGACUUUCAAGUCAGGGUGAAAUCCCGGGGCUCAACCUCGGAAUUGCCUUUGAUACUGUAGGUCUCGAGUCCGGAAGAGGUGGGUGGAAUUCCUAGUGUAGAGGUGAAAUUCGUAGAUAUUAGGAAGAACACCGGUGGCGAAGGCGGCCCACGUGGUCCG